UACGAGGGGGGCGAGCGUUGUUCGGAAUUAUUGGGCGUAAAGGGUGCGUAGGCGGUUCCGCAAGUCCUGUGUGAAAUCUUCGGGCUCAACUCGAAGUCUGCACGGGAAACUGCGGGGCUUGAGUGUGGGAGAGGUGAGUGGAAUUCCCGGGUGUAGCGGUGAAAUGCGUAGAUAUCGGGAGGAACACCUGUGGCGAAAGCGGCUCACUGGACCAUAACUGACGCUGAUGCACGAAAGCUGGGGGGAGCAAACAGG
rnacentral:rRNA from 1 species